AUGCCUUCCUGGAACGACGAGGAAACGAGCUCCGAGGAGGAGUGCGAGGUCGUCAGCAUGGACAUGGGACUUAUGGAGGAACCAAACACCAUUGUGGAGCCCCUUUUCUGUGGCCAACUUGAGCGUGCUCAACCCAAGUGCAUUCUGCACCAAAUGAGGCCUAUUAAGCGUGUUGUUUUUGAAGGCAUUGAAAAUGGUGUGAAUUGUGGUGUUGUAGAGUGGGUUGAUGGGCCUUGGCCUCCUGUUCUUCAGAGAUGUCUUUCCAAGCUAUGGGAAAUGUUCCAUGAGCAGAACUGUGGAAGGGUACUUGACAAGGAGAAGUUUGAGAAGGAGUUGGCCAAGCUUAAGUGUGAACAUGAAAGGGAGUUGGUCAAGCUUAAGAUGGAAAAUGACAAGCUUUGCAUUGAGUACACCAAGCUUGUUGAUAAUGUAUCCAAGAUGUUUGAUUGGAAGGAUGGUAGGGUGGACAAGAAGGUGUACCAGAAACAAGUGGAGGAGGAAGAACUUGAGAAGAAGAAGAUGGAGCUAGAGGAGAAAGCUAUGUUGGAGGUCCAAGCUGAUAUCAUCAAGAACACCAGGAAGGCUGUGAAGGAUGUUGAAGUUGACAGAGAUGUUCUUAAGAAGGAGAAGGAAAAGCUUGAGCUUGUUGUUGCUGAGCUGCUGAAAGAUGGGUAUGGCAGCAAGGAGAAGUUAGAGCAAAUCAAGGCCAUCCUUGAGUCUUGA
rnacentral:rRNA from 1 species